rnacentral:rRNA from 1 species
UACAGAGGUCUCAAGCGUUGUUCGGAUUCAUUGGGCGUAAAGGGUGCGUAGGUGGUGAUGCAAGUCUGGUGUGAAAUCUCGGAGCUCAACUCCGAAAUUGCACCGGAUACUGCGUGACUCGAGGACUGUAGAGGAGAUCGGAAUUCACGGUGUAGCAGUGAAAUGCGUAGAUAUCGUGAGGAAGGCCAGUUGCGAAGGCGGCUCACUGGCUCGGUACUGACGCUGAGGUGCGAAAGCGUGGGGAGCAAACAGG